GACGAACGCUGGCGGCGUGCUUAACACAUGCAAGUCGAACGGAAGGGCCCUGCUUUUGUGGGUUGCUCGAUUGGCGAACGGGUGAGUAACACGUGUGUAACCUGCCCUUGACUUUGGGAUAACUUCAGGAAACUGGGGCUAUUAUCGGAUAUGAGCUCCUGCUGCAUGGUGGGGGUUGGAAAGUUUCGGCGGUUGGGGCUCGACUCGCGGCUUAUCAGCUUGUUGGUGGGGUAGUGGCUUACCAAGGCUGUGACGGAUAGCCGGCCUGAGAGGGGGACCGGGGACAUGGGGACUGAGAGACGCAGCAGACGGCAACGGGAGGCAGUAGGGGGAAGUAUUGCGCAGUGGGGGGAAGUCUGAGGCAGCAACGUUGGGAGCGGGAUGAUGGGUUACUGGGGAUAAACCGCUGUCGCCGGUGACGAACCGUGAGUGACGGUAAUGGGUAAGGAAGCAACGGCUAACUACGUG
rnacentral:rRNA from 1 species